CUCUGUUUUGUGAUUGGUUCUCGUUCACCAUAUAUACUCUGUCUGUUCACUUCAAUGUUGUUGGUCGUUGUUGGUGUUGGUAUGUAGUGUGUUUUUGUUCGAUGUUCCCAUUGCCUGUUCGUUCUGUGUUCUGCCUUGUGUUGCCUGCCUGACUGUUUUUCUGUUUCGUGUAUUGGCCGAUUGAAACUCUAAAAACUGCAUUUGGAUCCUCACUCGCCUGUUGUCUCACCGUGUCACUCGUGACAUUGUGAGCCCUACACACCAUUAUUUACAUGAGGUUACCCCAGGUGUGCACCCUCUUCUCUGGCCCCAUCUACAACAGAACAAUUGUUCCUAUUGUCACAGGAGUGUGAACUAGACAGUCCCCGUCUUUCGGCAGGUGAAGUCGUGAAAAAUCGCCUGCACCGUGGAGAGGUGGAUGCUGCUCUGAGCAUUCUGGGUAAUAUGGACUGGUGCCUGAUGGGAGAAGACUGCUAUGAUUGUCUCGUCUUAGUGACUGAUCACCUGCUCAAUAAGCUCAGUUAGAAUAAGCUCUGGGGAUGUUCUACAAUCCGUCCAGAGCCUUAACAGACAGAGUCAUAAAGAUGUUCCGAGAACACAUCUGCCGCUGUGCACAGAAAGUCUUCCUUCACCUGCUUAGGUUGAGCGGUUCCUGAAUGGCUUGUGGGGUGGAAGAAAUAUCAAGCAGUGGUGGAGAAGCGGCUUACAGAUGGGGCGCGGCUGCCGGAUGAUUUUGAGGAUGAUGACCGUUAUAAAGUGUCAAAGCAGCUGUUUCAAUCACGGCAGAUAAAUGAAGAGCAGGAGCGGCACCUGGCAGAUACUCAACUUAAGCGGUGGUUGUCGGCGGCAACCAUGUGGUUGUCACCAAAAACCAGGUGGAUUUUCUUCAUGAAUAUGCUGCUGGGCGCCGCGACCAACGUCUUCGUGGAAGAGUUAGCCGUCAAAUUGCAGACAUGCUGCUUCAUCACCUUCGAAGUCCUCGUCGUCUUGUGCACUGCUUUAUUUUGCCUGGACGCGGAGGGGUGUUUUUCUCCUCUCUGCUCUGACUGCAGCGCGACGCUACUGAGAGACUUACCGCCUGUGAGUGCUUUUGGACUGGAGAGGGGCUCACGGCAGCACCCACUGCUCGUUGAGCACAGUAGGCCUAACUGCAGAGUGAUUCGUACUUUCGAGUCUCCAAACACCACAAAAGUCUCCAAAAACACCAGUAAAAGUCGCUGGAUUUGUCGCAUUUGACAAAAAAAAAAGUCACCAGGAGGAUGAUUUGUUGUGUUAUAAUCAGUGCUUGAAGUGGGGGGGAAAGCUGGCGGUACUCUCUUUGCAUUGGCAAAUCAUGACAUUUUUACCGUGAAAAACAAAACUUGGAGAUAUUGCUGUUACAACAAUUUGUUAUUUAUUAACAACAUAAAUGUAUUUAAACAUG